UGCAACGGUACAUAUUGGACGUGGGCAGCAACACAGUGACGAGUGAAAUAUAAGAUCGACCUUCAAUUACUGAGUCGUCAAUUGCCUAUCCUUGUUCCCGUAUUGUAGAUAUAUUCACUGAAGCCUGUGACUGCAAGGUAAAUCAUUGGCCCCCGUCCAAGGAUCCAAGCCAAUCAUCUUACCGUGUUAUUCGAUAAUAAACAGGAACAUUCAGACACAACCAGGAGACGAGUGAAGGAUGCUGCUGUCUAUUCCAGACCUGGUGUUCACCUUCAGUUGUAUAUUGGUGCGAGAUGGGCUUCAUGUCAAGGCAGCAAAUAUCAUGCUGGGUAAACCAACGCGCCUGAGUUCUACUUACUCUGCACCCUACCAAUCCGGCUAUGCCAAUGAUGGAAACAGGACCGGGGAAUCAGCGAUUAGUCCGUACCAACUACACCCAUACUGGCAGGGAGAUCUACAAGGGUUCUACACCGUACACAACAUCACGGUCACAAUUUAUUCUAUAUUACGUUGCAGAUAUGCAUACAUUGGUGUGUCGUCAGUAGACGUUGAUUGCCCGAAUGACGACGUGACCUUGUGUGGUCAGUGGCCGGCAGAUGCAGUAGGUAGAAUAACCUUGACCUUCAACUGUUCCCAUGAGCAGCCUGUGAGAUUCGUGAGGGUGUGGAAAAACAUCACAGACUACCUGAGUAUACAGGAAGUGGAGGUGGAGGGGCACUCCCAGAAGUAAAAAUGCUGCUAUGUACGACAAGAGUCUGAACCAGAAGCUGUCUACACCUGUGACCACAGUGAAUGCCAGAUCAGCCACUGACUGUGGUAUCAUGUGUCUCAAGACCCAACCUUGCCUCGGUUUCAGCUACAAUCCCUCUGGCGAUCCACCCUGUCUCUUGUCACCAUCUACAGCAAUGACAACAGCCACCAGCUGGGUUAGCUACGCCAUAUCUACUUGCUAUCUGACAGAUCAGUUCAACUAAUGGGGGGUUAUUUACGUGAGUCACAGUGCCAGUAUCUAGGAGUCUAUCACAAUACAUCAAUACAUUCUGGUAGAACUGUAGGAAAGAUCUGUAUGUCAAACCCGAAACUAGAAAAAGCGAUUCACAAAUAGACGUAAUGCCAUGUAAUUUAUGAUUUCAGAAUGCACAGACUUUACUAUCCUACAAAUUAAUCUUGUAAACGACUUUGUAUCGGAGGAAAGCAUUCAUUCAAUCAUACUCUCAGACAAAGUGCCAUAAGAAGUAAAACAGAUGCGUAAUGUUUGCGAAAAAUCAAGUCAACGUCUUCUCGUCUAAUGAUACUUCAAUUUCACAUCCUUUUUACCAAUGACAAGUGAUAUUUCUUCGUCAGAGAGGAUUUCGACCAGAAUUAGUUGUUUGUGGCUAUUAUGCAAACAUUUGGAACAAUACAGCUGAAAGUGUUACAGUAAUAUCCUACUCUUACAUUCUAUAACCCUGCAGUAUGGGACUGCACGCAUCCUUGUAAAGUAAACUAGCUGACUGAGUGAAUUUCGUGAAUUUUACAUGAUGUUUCUUCACGUCAUAAUAUCUUGUUUUGUUUCUUAUGGAUUUCAUGGUGAUAUUUUAAAACAUUGUAAUAUAUCAUGUCCUCCCUAUAACGACAACUUGGUUUUUGAGCAUACAUUUAAUUGUUGGCUAUAAGUUCUUUCAGAAACAUUGUUUUUCAUGUAUUUGACCUUUUGAUUAAUAGUAAUUGAGCCAUCCUGCCUUUCUUCAUAUAGUGCUGUAACUACAGGAGGUUCUGUAGACACGUUAUCUUGAUGUGUCUGAAGAAUCAAAACGUUUAAAUAUGUAAUCUUAAUUACGAAGAUCGGCAGAUCAUGGCACCGAUUCUGCUUUGUCUCCAUGGUGGGGAUAGAGGUGGGGAGGGGAGAGAGUGGAGGUGGAA